rnacentral:rRNA from 1 species
GACAGAGGUGGCAAGCGUUGUUCGGAUUCAUUGGGUGUAAAGGGUCCGUAGGUGGCCCGGCAAGUCUGACGUGAAAUCCCAUGGCUCAACCGUGGAACUGCGUUGGAAACUGCAGGGCUUGAGUAUCGCAGAGGUGAAGGGAAUUCCCGGUGUAAGGGUGAAAUCUGUAGAUAUCGGGAGGAACACCAGUGGCGAAGGCGCUUCACUGGGCGAUUACUGACACUGAGGGACGAAAGCAAGGGGAGCAAACAGG